GUCCACGGCCAUGCCACCCUGAAUGUGCCUGAUCUCUUCUGAUCUCAGAAACUAAGCAGGGUCGGGCCUGGUUAGUACUUGGAUGGGAGACCACGUAGGAAGACCAGGUGCUGUAGGUG
rnacentral:rRNA from 1 species